AUCUAAAAAUCCUGAUAAUCUAAUGGAUUAUCCACUUUAGUCCAUAACGUGUCUCGUAUGACUUUCACGUCGCAUUGCGCGUUACAUUGCGUGCCAGUUGAUAAUUUUUGCAUAGUUCAUUUCGUUGACUUCCGACACGAACUGUUUACGAGCAGCCCGAAAUUUCUUUUACUUUUCCAUAUCAGCUAAGUAUAACAUAUCGUCUCAGAUAUGAUUAUACCUCAAUUUCCCGAUAUACCGUAUCGGCGAUGCGUGCAGUCGAGCCGGCGAAUCAUUCUCGAUGAAUCAUAAAAAGAACGGGUACAAUCCGGAUCCCAUCGAAAAAUCUCCGACGCCAAAGCGACAUUUUAGAGCAGGAAGACCAUAGGCAGACUUGAUUCAACGAAUUGCAUAACAUAUUAUGCUUGCUACUACAAUUUCCAGGAUCGCAUCCGAUGCGUUAUGAAGAAUACGAGUUGCCAAUCGUAGAGUUAAAGAUUUUGAAUAUUUGAUUGCAAAUGUACCACAGGAACGAUAAACAACUCUUCUGAGAAUA